rnacentral:rRNA from 1 species
UACGUAGGGGGCAAGCGUUGUCCGGAAUUAUUGGGCGUAAAGAGCGCGUAGGCGGUCCGAUAAGUCGGCUGUGAAAGUCGGGGGCUCAACCCUCGAAUGCCGGUGGAUACUGUCGGGCUAGAGUGCGGAAGAGGCGAGUGGAAUUCCUGGUGUAGCGGUGAAAUGCGCAGAUAUCAGGAGGAACACCUAUUGCGAAGGCAGCUCGCUGGGACGUAACUGACGCUGAGACGCGAAAGCAUGGGGAGCGAACAGG